CGAGACGAUAUAAAAGUAUACCGAGGCAUCGUUCGAUUGUUUUUAUUCGGCAUCUUAACGAAAGUUAAAUAUUUUUGUUUGCCGAUCGAUAUUACGGGUGUAACGAAGGUUUUAGUUUUAUUGAUAUCACGUUGAUUUAACAAAACACGUUUUUUUUCAAAACGAUAUUAUCCCGGGUGCAAAAGAAAAUAAACACGACCGAUAGUCAUUACCUAUUCAGUUUAAUGAGUCCCGCUCGGAAUCGGUUUUUGACCGUAACGAUGUAUCU